GACACUUUCCCUUGUGCGGCAUGAUAGUGUGUGCCUCUUUGCAGAAGGACCCCUGUAUGCAGAAGUAGAGGCGCUGGCCUCAGGCUCCUCCACUUCCUCUUGGACAGAAGACACUGAGCAUUUUUUCAGGAAGUGGUCACCCCAGUGGUCCCCGGCUUUCUCAGGCUUCCUGCAGCUCUCUACACAGUGAAUCACAGUGAGACACUGGCAGCAGGCACCACGGAAGGGACCCUCAAAUCUGAAGGCUCAAGGUCGUGGGAAAACAUGAAGUGGAGCAUGCCUCUUGUUUCCUCCGAUUAGAUGCUGAGUGUUGGAAGUUCUUCCUAGGAUUCACAAAGAAACUCCUGGUCUUCUUCUACAUACUUUUUCCUGGGAAAGACAACUUGUUUCACUGGCAGAAAAGAUCCCCACUGUUAAAGUGAGGUAAAGAAGAUUCUUGCUUCCUCUUCACGUGUCUGCCAUGACUGUAAGUUUCCUGAGGCUUCUGGAACCAGCCAUGCUGAACUGAUCUUAGAUACAUGAUGGCACUGUUGGCUUCCUGAAGACCUCUUCAUCCUGCAGAAGGUGCAACUCCACAGCGUCCUGAGAGGUUGGACAUAAGGCUUGGAAAGAAUGAAUGGUGCCUCACGGUGAAUUACUACAGCCUGAAUCCUGUGACCCCACCUGUAAUGGCCCAAUGUUGUUGAAAUUACUGACUCCAUCCACUUAGCAAGUGGUAAAUACUCUGCAGGCAUAGAUUUGACUAAUGUGUUCUGUUCAGCACCUAUUUCAACAGAUCUCAGCUGCAGGUUGCUUUCACUCCCGAAGGGACGCAAUAGACCGUUAUCUGGCUACCAUGGGGUACCUCGACAGUUCUGCCACCAUACACAAUCUUUGCAGGCAGGAUUUGAACUGCAUCUGAC
rnacentral:antisense_RNA from 1 species